rnacentral:rRNA from 1 species
UACGAAGGGUGCAAGCGUUACUCGGAAUUACUGGGCGUAAAGCGUGCGUAGGUGGUUUGUUAAGUCUGUUGUGAAAGCCCCGGGCUCAACCUGGGAAUGGCAAUGGAUACUGGCAGGCUAGAGUGCGGUAGAGGAUGGCGGAAUUCCCGGUGUAGCAGUGGAAAUGCGUAGAGAUCGGGAGGAACAUCUGUGGCGAAGGCGGCCAUCUGGACCAGCACUGACACUGAGGCACGAAAGCGUGGGGAGCAAACAGG